CACCACUUUCAACCCCAACAGCUGUCACAUCAUGCAUCUCCCUUCCCACUUGCCCUCCACCCAUCAGGCCUGCAACUUCCUGCCAUGUCAUCCAUUGGUGCCAGCUCGGGUCUUCUGGCGCUGUCCAACGCACUUGCAGCUCAUCCCCCGUUUGCGCUGAAAGAAGACAAGAAUCAUCAAGAUCCGGAGCAUCGACGAGACAGAGACCAAGGCUCAGUAAGUAGUGACAUUUCAUUGCUAUCCAUUUAAUAAAGGAAACAUGGGAGGUCAAACAAGGCAAUUGCUCACAGCAAUGCAUAGUACAGGAGUGGGUGACUCCACUUGUUAAGUUGGAACAAUACCAAAGUAUACUGCUUUUUUCUUCCAAAAUAAAACACUUGGUGUAUCUUGUACAUGUAUGUAUGUGAAAAAUGUGGGAAACAAUAUCAAAAUUACUUUCAAAUGUCAUCAUUUGGAGGGCGAUAUGUGCUUUGAGUUUGGCAAAUGGAAUAAAGACCUACGAGAACUGA